rnacentral:lncRNA from 1 species
CAAAGAAGGCGGGGGUGGGGGUAGCAGCAGAAGGAGCUACUCCCCGGCCGCUGCACAGUGACCAGAGCAGCCCGCGAUCAGAGCUCUGAACCCGACUAGUUCCUGGCUUCCUCUUCGGUUCCCUCCUCCUUCUGCAGCGACAACCCCCAGGGUCUCUCCGUAGAGCCUUCGAGAGCCCACGGUGGCCCGGGGCGCCGCGCCCUGACCCGCGCUCUAGGGUCGUGGAGGACUGCGCCCCAUCUGGGAAGACUGCGGCGCUAAGCCUCAAGUACCCCAGGGACACUGAGAAAUCGAAAAACGCGAGUCAGAGCAACUCCCGCCCCCCAGGAGCUGGGAACAAAGACCCCUUUGUUCAGCUCUGUCCCUCUCCCGAGAGACCAGAGUCCCGUGGGUGUGGUGUCGUGGAGGGGAGGAGACAGGUCACUGCAGGUAACCCGCCUCCGCCUAGAACUUGGGAGGGGGAGGCACCCCACCGUGGUGUCCUAGGUAGCAAAGGCCGCCUGGGGCUCUGGAGGGAGGUGUCCCCCUUCAGGUGCACCUGCCAGCCCCAGCUCCAAGUCAGCUGAGUGCCUGCUACUCGGAUGAUGGGGUCUCUCCAGGUGUGAGGUUUGUGAACUCUCCUCGGCUCCGAAAGGAAUUUCAGGAUUACAUGUGUCACUUGUUUGAAGAGCUCAUUGACCAUAAAUCUCUGAGGGAGAGGGAAAGAAAGAAUGGGAGGAGGGGAAAGAAAGGGAGCAUGCACUUGGGUUCCAGCAAACCUCAUCUGGAGGAAGGGUCCACCCAUGGAUCUGCUGUCACUCUAUCUCUUCUGUCUGCCACCUUUGCUACAUCCCAAGAAGACUUUCUGCAUCUUAAUUCUGAAUAUGAAAUGAAUAGGCUUUGUGUUUGUUUUCUCGUCGUUGUCUUUUGAGACUAGGUCACAUGCAACUUAAACUAGCCUUGAACUUCUAAUGUAGCCAAGGAAGAACUUGAACUUCUGAUUCCUGCUUCUACCUUCAAUGCUGGGACUGCAAGUCUAUGCGACUCCAUCUAGCUGCACUGGGUCAUUGGACUCCUGUUUAUCUAGUGAGUGUACCAGUAUCCCCUAAUUUCUCCAUCCAUGAACAACACUUGUUUAAGAUUCUUUACCACAUCCGGAGACAAGCCAUGGAACGCUUUGCAAAUGAUUUGAUGGCUUAGUUUUGGCUCCCUCAGAGCCAUGCCCCACAUGGAUGGUGCAGCUUCUCAUGGAAUCAUCUAUCGCUCACACUUCAUUUCUCACCAUCCUCAAAUUUUAGGCUCAGGGAAAAUAAUUUUUUUAGAAAGAUCCCAGUUUACAGUAUUCUUCCAUGGCUCUGUGCUUGAUCACACUGACCUUACCUCCUAACACUUACUUUGCCCACCAGCCACCCCUCGGUUGUAGAGCAUCAAAGCCAUGCUCGCACCUUUAAGCGACUUGUUUUUGCUGAGUUACACAGAUAUGCUGUGAACACCCAUUCACAAAGCAGAUGUUGGGUGAUGAACAAGGCAACACAAAUAAAGUAAUUAUCUCAAUUUCUACUGUCUGUUCCCCGGUGUAUUCCCAGCAGCUUACAGAGUCCUUAGUGCAUUGUGGGAACAAAAUUGUAUGGGGGAGAAGUAAGUAUUAGUUAUCAUAAUUAUUAUCUCAACUACACCAAUAGUUGUUAGUUUAUCUGGUCUUUGUUUUCUGUUUUGUAUCAACCCCUGAGGUUGUAAGUCUGUCUAUCACAUAGGCUGUACUAGGCAAUGUUUGAUAAGUGAGCAAUGAGUGAACGAAUGGAUAGGAUUCACCUAGGGCAGAUCUUUCUGUUCAACAAGUGUGAGCACUAAAGUCGUCAUGCAUUUAUUGUUCACUUAGCUCUCCAGUCUCAUGAUUUCCUCACUGAACGUGGAGGUAUUGGCAAAAGGUACACGUUCUCUACUGGUUUCUCCUGGAAUUGGAAUUAAAGGGAUAUUUUGAGCACCUACCUCUGUAUCUAAGUGAAAGACAUAAAGGGAGUUGUGGUUCAAAUUUGAAGAGGGCAUGCAGUCCUCGUGCUAACAGAUAAGUACUAGGAAAACCAGAAAUGGUAAACAGAGUUGUUUCUUCAACAAAAAGGAUGUAUAACCUGCCGUUUACCCAAAAUGCUGGAAUAAAUGUAGUUAACAGUCUGGUGACCUGUACUCUCUGUAGGGCUAGGCACAGCUGACUCCUCUAGACUCUUACGCUGAUCUAAGUCAUUCUCCUUAGACCUUUAUCUUGAGCAUUUUUUUCUCAGUCAGUCUAUAGAACCCACCUUUAUGGAAGUGAUCCCAUGUACCUAGUUUUGUUGUAGUCAUGCCUUAAGCUUUGUUGUGUACAUAGGAUUGAGAUAAUGUCACCAAAAAAUUCUUUUAAACAUGUCUAAAAAAAAUGCCCAGUGUGAGAUUCUUGAAGUUUGAACCAAAAGUAACUACUGAACUGGAUUACCUUCUUGCCUCACACAGAAUGUUACUCUGGCAGCCCUGUUGUUUCCAGACAACACACAAAUCCCCCUGUUCAUUAAAUAAAGAGGUUAUGCUGUCGACUACACUCUCUUUAUCUCUCUAUCCAUCUUUCUGUCUACAUAGCUAUCUUGUGUGCAUGCAUAUGUGUCUGUGACUGUAGGGGUACACAUAUUCA